rnacentral:rRNA from 1 species
UAAAAUUUAUAAAAUUAGGUAAUAAAGAAAUUUCUGAAACCUAAAGAAUUUGGCGGUAUUUUAAAUAAUUGGAGGAACCUGUUAUUUAAUUGACAACCCACAACAUAUCUCACCUAAAUUUUAUUUGUAUAUCGUCGUUUUGAUAAUAUUUAAAAAUUAUGAUCAAUGUUAGAAAUUUUUCAAAAAUCAGAUCAAGAUGCAGUAUAUUUAGGGUAUAAUGGGUUACAAUAUAAUUAUAUAAAAUGGAUAUAAAAUUGAAAUUAUAUUGAAAGUGGAUUCAAAAGUAAUAUUAAAUUAAAAUGUUAAUAUGAUUAAAAAUUUAAAAUAUGC